CUGGAACUAUACAUAUAUUUUUCUAUUAGGUGCCUAGAUCGUUGUGACGUCUAGUUAAUCCUGUAAGCAAGUAGAUCCUUCAAUAAAUAAAAAUCUCCAGCUCGAUAUUAAUAAAAUUGAGAUCGAAGAAUCAACCUAUGUGAGUAUUUUUAAUACAACCGUCGUCCUUUGGUGAGCAUUAUUUCUAGUGAACAUUAGAAACAUACACAACAAAAUUAUCAUCCCGUAUAUCCGACAUGGCGAGAUGUUUAAGAUAGUAUUAAGUUCUUCAGUUUUUCUAUACUUUUAGAGAUAUAAACAAUACAUAAAAGUUCAUCUGUGUUUUUCUUGUUGACAUGUGUUUUUUUUUUACCUUUUAUUGUAUACUCUUUUUGUUAUUUUGUUGUAUUUUGGUUUCACUUUUUUUCCAUGAACCCAAAUAUUGUAAAUUGUCCCU
rnacentral:lncRNA from 1 species